GCAAAGUCCUUAUAAAACACACUUGACAGGUAUCCCCAUGAGCACGUGAGCUUGCAGAAGAAGAGGACAGAGAGGAGGAUAAGGUCUUCUCCACUUUCGUGUCCCCAUCAUGUGAUACAGUGCUGUCACACAUGAGGUUCUCAACCUAAAAUAGGUGGUGGUUGGAGAGGUGAAUAGCUAGGUGGGCAAACAGACAGGUAAGUGAUAUAUAAGGAAUUAUGUGAUUGCCCCUGAAGGUCAACUUUACUUCUUUCAAAAGGGUUGUCUUGCCUUCGGUAACAGGCUAUGCCCUGCCCUGUGAGAGGCUGUGGAGGGUUACACCACUCAGGGGCUGUCAGUGAGGGUUAACUGCAGUUCCACUGCUCUAGGAUAAACAAUCUGCUGUCCAUGGCCAGAAGAAUAUGUCUUGUGCUCACCUUUCUGCAAGGAAGAGCCCAGCCUGUACCUGCUUCUGCAGAGAGAAGAGAAGGCAGUGGCAUGGGGGCACAGAGCGCCAGCAUCCAAAGCCUGCACAGCACCCUGCCUGCCUGGCUGGAGAUGGAUGACAGUAAUCACAGAGCCCGUGAUCUGGCCUUUUCUGCCGGGCCCACCUGCUGCUGCCGUUGUCAUGUUCUGUGCUCUGCUGCCAUCCUCCGCAGUGGCACAGCCUGCAUCUUGGCAGCCUUGGGAACAUCACAGGACAGGGCCAUACCUGCCAUGAAGACCCCAGCCCGCAUUGCCCAGGAUGCCUCCAGUCAUCAGAGCUAACACCUUUUGCCACUAUUGCCUGGAGGGACAUCCCAAUGACAGGCCAGUGGGAGCAUCUACCCUGUGCAGAAACAGGGCCAUGUUGUCUACAGAGAAUUUAAAGACAGCAAUAAAACUGACAAAAAACGUGGAUCUGAUUUUUAUUGUCAUCAUGCCCUGGCAAUUUUAAAUAAUGUCCAUGAUAAAAUACUCCUCCCCACAGGACAGAAGGCUCCCCCUCACUAGCAUCCCUGGGCCCCC
rnacentral:lncRNA from 1 species